AACUGCAUGUGCAGGGUGGGGAAUUGGGGGAUGGGAAUGGGAUGGGGCUUCUCCAUCUAAGGGGAAUGGAUGGAGGACUUAUGUGAAGGGGUACUGGGAAGAGAGGAAGGGCUGAUAUUGAGUUGUAAAGUGAAUAAAUAAAUACAUUUAAUUUUAAAAACAUAUGUCUAGUGAUAUAGUCUCCUGCUGCCUGUGGAUCAAGAUGUAGAAGUCCUGCUUCUCCUGAACCAUGUCUUCCUGCAUAAUGGACUAAACACCUGAAACUGAAACAUUGCGUGGCAUGGAUAAAGCCCGAGGCAAGAUGCUCUCUCUUGCUUUGUGUGAUUCCUACCAGCCUUGGGUAUUUGACUACCCG
rnacentral:lncRNA from 1 species